rnacentral:rRNA from 1 species
UACGGAGGGGGUUAGCGUUGUUCGGAAUGACUGGGCGUAAAGCGCGCGUAGGCGGACCAUCAAGUCGGGGGUGAAAUCCCGGGGCUCAACCCCGGAAUGGCCUUCGAGACUGGUGGUCUUGAGUUCGAGAGAGGUGAGUGGAAUUCCGAGUGUAGAGGUGAAAUUCGUAGAUAUUCGGAGGAACACCAGUGGCGAAGGCGGCUCACUGGCUCGACACUGACGCUGAGGCGCGAAAGCGUGGGGAGCAAACAGG